CUUAUACUCCCUUCGUUCGAAAAUACUUGUCAUCAAAAUGGAUAAAAAGAGAUGUGAACUAAAAUACAUCUAGAUACAUCCUAUUUUAUGCAGUUUGAUGACAAGUAUUUUCGGACGAAGGGAUUAGUUA
rfam:Triticum aestivum genome assembly, contig: Triticum_aestivum_CS42_TGACv1_scaffold_408765_5BL